rnacentral:rRNA from 1 species
CCAGACUCCUACGGGAGGCAGCAGUGGGGGAUAUUGGACAAUGGGGGAAACCCUGAUCCAGCGAUGCCGCGUGAGGGAAGAAGGUUUUCGGAUUGUAAACCUCUGUGGACAGGGACGAUAAUGACGGUACCCGUCAAGAAAGCCACGGCUAACUACGUGCCAGCAGCCGCGGUAAUACGUAGGGGGCAAGCGUUAUCCGGAUUUACUGGGUGUAAAGGGAGCGUAGACGGCAGCGCAAGUCUGAAGUGAAAUGCCGGGGCUUAACCCCGGAACUGCUUUGGAAACUGUAUAACUGGAGUGCAGGAGAGGUAAGUGGAAUUCCUAGUGUAGCGGUGAAAUGCGUAGAUAUUAGGAGGAACACCAGUGGCGAAGGCGGCUUACUGGACUGUAACUGACGUUGAGGCUCGAAAGCGUGGGGAGCAAACAGGAUUAGAUACCCGAGUACGA